CAAGCACGGCAGUGCCCGCGUCCUUGACAUUC
rnacentral:scRNA from 1 species